UGGGGAAUAUUGCACAAUGGGGGAAACCCUGAUGCAGCGACGCCGCGUGAGCGAAGAAGGUUUUCGAAUCGUAAAGCUCUGUCCUAUGAGAAGAUAAUGACGGUAUCAUAGGAGGAAGCCCCGGCUAAAUACGUGCCAGCAGCCGCGGUAAUACGUAUGGGGCGAGCGUUGUCCGGAAUUAUUGGGCGUAAAGGGUACGUAGGCGGUCUAUUAAGUCAGGUGUGAAAGCGUGAGGCUUAACCUCAUUAAGCACUUGAAACUGAUAGACUUGAGUGAAGGAGAGGAAAGUGGAAUUCCUAGUGUAGCGGUGAAAUGCGUAGAUAUUAGGAGGAAUACCGGUGGCGAAGGCGACUUUCUGGACUUUUACUGACGCUCAGGUACGAAAGCGUGGGGAGCAAAC
rnacentral:rRNA from 1 species